rnacentral:lncRNA from 1 species
ACUACUAUAUAUAUUUAUUGGUAAUUGGGCGACAGAGUGAGACUUCAUCACACAAAAAAAUCUAAAUCUUUAGUAGUGUAAUUUAAAAACAAGAAUUUUAUUUCCACACCAGCUUGAAGUCUGUGGUUUUAAAACAAUUUCUUUUUAAGGUGUGCUUUACCUCAAAACUGGGAGAGUCUGUCUUUUAUCUCAAACAAAACUACAUGGAGAAAAGGUACUAAAGAAAGACAAAUGCAUUAGAUAAAUAUUUUACCGUAUAGUUGUCAGUAAACCAACUUAGAAUUAUCCUGCAGGGAUUACAUAAAUAAAUAAAUACAUAAAUAAACAAACAAAAUAAACACCUUUAUGAACACUCCGACUGAGUGGAAUAUGUCUAUAUUCUUAUAACUGCUUCAGUUCUAAAAGCCGGAGACACAGGAAUCAUUAAGAGGGGUUGAGUCAAGAUGGCGGCCUGGAAGUAGCUCCUGCGCGCUGCUCUCACAGGGAGGAGACAAAGGGCUGGUGAACACUGACCCUACAAGCUGAUAUCUAAGAAACCGUGUCGGACUCGAUCAAGGCAGCAAGCCGACACAGAGAACAGAGAGGAGUGCAGCUGGGCAGCAGCCUGUCUGGGAUAAACGCGGAGCCAGGAGAAGCUCCCCAACACAGGAAAGGGAUUUGAACAACUUGCAAAUACACCAUGCUGGACACACUAAGAUAAGCAAAAUCAACUUCCAUCAACCAGGAGUCUGUAUAUGCUUUACCUGGUUCCUCUGCUCAGGGUGUCCAAAGGCUGUGGUCAAGAAUCCCAUCUAGGAUAUCAUAUCACAUUGAGAUGUCAAGUUUCCUUUGGCUGUUCUUGGCUGUGGCAGUUUCUCAGACUUCUGUAGUUUUUGAGUCUCAGUUUGUUGCCCAGACUGGAGUACAGUGGCGUGAACACAGCUCACUGCAGCCUUGAACUUCUGGGCUCAAGUGAUCCUCCCACGUCAGCCUCCCCAAGUAGCUGGGACUACAGGUAUGGAUCAUCACGCUCAUCUAAUUUUUGUAUUUUUUGUAGAGACUAGAUUUUGCUAUGUUGCCUAGGUUGGUCUCAAACUCUUGGGCUCAAGUGAUCAGCCCACCUACGCCUCCCAAAGUGCUGGAAUUACAGCCUGAGCCACCGUGUCGGCCAUUAAUUGUUUUACCACUGUGAUAAUCAGCCUUAUGUGUAAAGCUGAUUAAGCUAUAGUUCCUAAUUAUUCAAUCUAACAUCUAAGUUUUGUUCAAAGACGUUUCUGUAGAUAUUAUUAAGUGAGGAAGAUGAUUCUAGAUAAUCACGGUGGGCCUGAAUCAGUCAGUUGAAAAGCCUUAAGAGAAGGCGGGAGUUUUCCCUGAGGAGGAAGCCAUUCUGCCCAUGGACUGCAACCUCAGCUCAUGUCUAGAAUACGUGAAGUGUUUCAGCUUGCCCUCCCUGACAGCCUUCCCUAUGCCAAUGCCUUGCGAUAAAUCUCUGUCCUCUCUCUCUCUCCUUCGCUCCCACCUUCUCUCUCCCACUUACUUACCCUACUGGUUCUGUUCUCUGGUGGAACACUGACUGAUGCUACCACCGUUUCCUGAAAAAGAUUAUUUCUUUUCUCCGUAAAUUGCCUUUACAUUUUUGUCGAAGAUCAAUUGUAUGAAUAUGUGUAAGUCCAUUACUAGGCUUUCCUAUUUUUUGAGACUGAGUCUUACUCUGUCACCCAGGCUAGAGUGCAGUGGCGCGACCUCGGCUCCCUGCAAGCUCCGCCUCCCAGGUUCACGCCAUUCUCCUGCCUCAGCCUCCCGAGUAGCUGGGACUACAGGCGCCCACCACCACGCCCGGCUAAUUUUUUGUAUUUUUAGUAGAGACGGGGUUUCACCGUGUUAGCCAGGAUAGUCUCGAUCUCCUGACCUGGUGAUCUGCCCGGCUCGGCCUCCCAAAGUGCUGGGAUUACAGGUGUCGCCACUGAGCCCGGCCGUCCAUUACUAGACUCUUAUCUGUUCUAUUAAUUUGUUGGACUAUCCACCACUACCUACCAUGCUGUCUUGACUACUGCAUUUUUAUCAUAUAUAUUGGAAUCAGAUAGCAUAAAUUUUCAUGGGAGAGAAGCUGAGAUAAUUGGUUUGAAUCUUUUUGUUCUUUUCUAAUAUUGAUUUUCAUUGUUAAAAAUACACCUGAAAAUACUGACUUAACUGAAUCUCACAAAUAUAUACAUUUCAGAAAUAUAUAUUACAUAUUUAAAAAUUAGAUAAGUUUGGUUGAUAAUAAUGCUCAUUUCUACCACAUUGCUACUAGUUUUCUAUAUGUAUAAUGUUUAUUAUUCUCCCUUUUCUCGUUUCCUAGGAAAUAAAAACAUAAAUUUAGAACUCUUUAUCCAACACAAGUUUUUAAAAAAAUGAAUGUGUUGUAAAACCGAUGUAAUGACUUAAGAUUUAAGUCUUUAUAAAGACUAUCAAACAUAUAUAGAUUGGAAAGAGUCAUCACUUGCAGAGCAACACUAUAAGAAAUGGUAAUAAAAAAGCUUUAGGCAGGAAAAUAAUACCAGAUAAAAUGCUUUAAAAAUGGCAAACACAUAAGCAUAUAAAAUAUCUUUUUAUUUUUGUUUAUUCAAAAGAUAACUGGAUGCUAAAAAAUAAUGACAAUGUAUUCUUGACACACCAAAAUAAAAAUUGUGUCAUAAGAAAAGAAAUCAGCUUUGACCAUCUACCAUACCCAGAGAACAAAAUAAAACAUGACUGUGUGAGUUAAAUAAGACCUUUUCUGCUUCACACCUAUCCCCACUUCCAAAACUCCCUGGAGCGUGUUGUUGUUUUUGUUUGUUUAUUUGUUUUAAGAAUGUCCAAAAUACACAAAAUCUAUCAGAAAUUUAAUCAAGUGACAAGGAAGAAAUAAAAUGAGUACAAGUCCUUAGUGGGAAAUUUUAAAAGUUGUUUGUGAAUGUAUCCUAUCAAGAAGAAUCAAUUCAACACAAUGAUUUUGUGGAUUUUGGAAUGUUUAAUAAAACUAUAUACCAAAGCAUUAAAAAUGAUGUAUUAAUGGAGCAAAAUGAAGGUUAUUUUUUCUAUUUUACUUUAUAUAUUUGUGUACUCUUUGGGGUAUUUUUAAAAACAUUUAUUACCAUUAGAAUCAAAAUUAAAGAUAUUUCAAUUAUUU